AAAGUCUGAUGGAGCAACGCCGCGUGAGUGAAGAAGGGUUUCGGCUCGUAAAACUCUGUUGUUAAAGAAGAACAUAUCUGAGAGUAACUGUUCAGGUAUUGACGGUAUUUAACCAGAAAGCCACGGCUAACUACGUGCCAGCAGCCGCGGUAAUACGUAGGUGGCAAGCGUUGUCGAUGGAUUAUGGGUGUAAAGCGAGCGCAGGCGGUUUUUUAAGUCUGAUGUGAAAGCCUUCGGCUUAACCGAAGAAGUGCAUCGGAAACUGGAACCUCAAUUCAAACGCGGACAGUGGAACUCCAUGUGUAGCGGUGAAAUGCGUAGAUAUAUGGAAGAACACCAGUGGCGAAGGCGGCUGUCUGGUCUGUAACUGACGCUGAGGCUCGAAAGUAUGGGUAGCAAACAGGAUUAGAUACCCUGGUAGUCCAUACCGUAAACGAUGAAUGCUAAGUGUUGGAGGGUUUCCGCCCUUCAGUGCUGCAGCUAACGCAUUAAGCAUUCCGCCUGGGGAGUACGGCCGCAAGGCUGAAACUCAAAGGAAUUGACGGGGGCCCGCACAAGCGGUGGAGCAUGUGGUUUAAUUCGAAGCUACGCGAAGAACCUUACCAGGUCUUGACAUACUAUGCAAAUCUAAGAGAUUAGACGUGC
rnacentral:rRNA from 2 species